UGGCUAUAGCUCAGUUGGUAGAGCCCUGGAUUGUGAUUCCAGUUGUCGUGGGUUCGAGCCCCAUUAGCCACCCCAA
rnacentral:tRNA from 1 species